rnacentral:miRNA from 1 species
GACGUCGAUAUUCGACGUCAUAAACACGAUCAACUUUGGUGUUUAUGACGUCGAUAUUCGACGUCAUAAACACGAACAACUUUGGUGAUUAUGACGUCGAUAUUCGACGUCAUAAACACGAUCAACUUUGGUGUUUAUGACGUCGAAUAUCUAAGUC